CUCUCUCUCUCUCUCUCUCCCUCCCUCUCUCUCUCCCUCCCUCCCUCAUCCCACUUCUCUUUCAUAUGUACCUACCUCUAGAGGAUGCUCUGACCAUUAUAAAACCCUGGGUCCUCUUUCUUUCCACAGAUAUUAGAAGGUCUUUUGGGGGGUAUAAAGCAAAAUGCUCACUGACCUUGUUUCUAGUACACCUGUCCACAUUUGGCAAGGGGACAGUAUCAGUCUUUACUAUGUGCCAGGCUCUAUGCUGGCUAACCUCUCCCAUUAAAUCACCAGUGUGCACUAGUCUCUUGGGGCUUUCUGAACCUCAGGUUUUAGCAGGGACCAGGGGCAGGGUGCAGGUCAGGUGACACUUUCACAGUUACAUUCUUAGUGAGCAACAGAGGUAGAGGGAGAUUCAGCCCUCGGAAGAUGCCUCUGGGUUGUGUGUUUUCCAGACUGCCCUCUGCAGAGUGGGCCAGAGAGGAGACUGGUGGAGCUGUGCUGUGGUCAGUGAGGAUUGUUGGCAUUUUUCUGUCAGAGAACUUUUCUUGUUUCAGUCCAUUUACUUUGGUGUCAUUAAGAUUAUGACUAUUGUUUUUAUUGGUGCCAUCCAGAGCCAAUCCCUUCUGUUGGUGACAUCCCUGUUAUAUGGGGGUAGCCUUGCAGGGUGUACUGCUGCUGGGGACAAGCCACACUUCCCUGUGGACCUCAGUAGUUGCUCUAAGAAAAAUAACAAGUUGAUAGAAUGCCUUUGAAGUUUUAUUUUCAGAGCUCAUUUAGAAUUAGAAUUAAUGUACUGAGCAAGUCUUAACACACAUGUGCACACCACACUGGCAUGGUAGCUUUUCCAAGUGCCAAACAGUAAGAUGAUUAAAAAAAAAAGAACUCUUAACAUAAUGGUUAUUUUGAUAAGACAGGAAUAGAGUUGAUUCUGUGAAUAUUUAGGCUAAUCAGUGCAAAAACAUAGCUGUCCCUGUGUCCUGGCUCCUCCAAAAAUGGGUAGAGAAUGGCAGUCUCUCUUCCUAUAUCCCAUAUUAAAUUCUGGAUCCAGAAUUCGAACCUAUGUGUCUGGACAGAGACUUCUGUUGUUAACUUUUUACUUGGUCAGAUUUGGUCUCUGUUAAGUGUCAUCAUUGUAAAUAAAGGUAGUUCCAGAUGCCUGGACUGAGUUAGGAAGUUAAAUUGGGUCACUGUGUAGAAUUCAGGGUGGCCUCGCUCUGUACAUUGUGCAAAUAAGGUCUCAGCAGGGUGAGCGUGGCCCAGUGUGUGGUUCUCUGGAGGCUGGACAUUCCCUGAGAAGGGUGGGUGGCUUCUUCUUGCCCAGAGUCUAGGUAAUGUUCACAUUUUGUAUCUGUCCAUACCAUCCUCUCCCACCAUGAUUGUGGUUUACCACACAGUGUGGCUCCAAACUUCUGGAGCUAUGUGGCCUGGGAACAGAUAUUGCCUAAGAAUCAGAGUUGAUGGUUUCCAAGGAGAGAGAUGACCUGGGCCUUCCCAUAGGAAAUCACGAGGAAGCCGAGAACAAGGCAAUACAGUCUUCUGUGGGUCUCUAAGUCCCGACUGUCUCUUUGCCCCCGUCCCUCUGGAUGACACCCACUAGGACUGCAGGCAUUGGCAAUGGGGAUAGCUGGAACAGUUAGGAGCUUCAUCACUGUUGUGCUGUUGAGCCAAAUCUGUUCCUAGAUGUUCGCACCUCCCUGUUCUCUCACUUGGCGGCAGGUAUUCACAGCUCUCCAGGCACCCUCUCUAGAGCAGCAUGGAGUGCCAGCUCUCUCCAUCAGCUCUGUGGUAAGGUGGGCCAGAAAGGAGGAGAAACAGCAGAUGUCCAAGGCAAGCAUCAUAUGACAUACCCAGGUGCUCCCCUCCCUGGUCUCUCACCAGUAUUGCCCCGUGCUUGCUUCCGUGAGUCCAAAUGCACCAGGCUUUAAAUGUCUGUGGGCACAGAACUAACUGUCACGUCCUUUUGAGUCUCAUUCCUCAGGGACAUUGCAAGCCAACACACUUAAUUGUGCCUACCACACUGCCUAGAUUCUCCAUGCCAGCGUGUGUCUAUGUUAAUGGAUCCACUAAGUUCUCAAGGUGAGGAGACUGAAGAUAGUCUCAGUUGUGGGAUGAGAGAUGGAGACAAGGUUGUAGGAGAGCCUGCUGAUGCUCUAUGAGCCUCAUGGUUGCAGCAGAUAUCUCUUCCACUAUCCAGGGAAGCAGUUUUGAGGCCCCAGCAGGGCACUGUGACCUUCUUGCCUGGGGUGCUCUUUUCUGAUCCUUCCCAGGUUGAGUUUUAUUUAGUGCAGCAGUUUUCAACCUGUGGGUCAUGACCCCUUUGGGGAUGAAGGACCCUUUCACAGGGGCAUGCAUAUCAGGUAUUCUGCAUAUCCAAUAUUGACAUGACAAUUCAUAACAGUAGCAAAAUUACAGUUUUGAAGUAGCAACAAAAAAUUUUAUGGUUGGGGGGUCACCACAACAUGAGGAACUGUAUGGAAGGGUCACAUAGGAAGGUUGAGAACCACUGAUCUAAAGUCUCUUGUGUCCCUGAACCAGAAUUUGACUGGCUCUGCAACAAAGGUGAGGAGGGAAGGCUUAUGUACUUAUAUAUCAUUUCUGCCCCAGGGUUGAACUAUAAUCAGGGACAGAUUGGGGCACAAAGAAAGAGGCUGAGAGGCCAGACAUGCGAGGCAAUGGCCAGGAAGACCAUGGACACCAAGACAGAUGGAGCAUGGAAGCUCUUUCUCAUUCUUCUACAAACUCAUGUUGUGGUCACUGAACUGUUGCUACUUGGGCAAUCAUGGGGAGUUUCUUAGGGGUUAUUCCAGAGAAAUAGAAUGGGUAGGAUAUGUGCCUAGACAUGUAGUUUAUCCUUGGUUUGGGAGGUUCAACUUGACGGGCUUUUGGAUUUGAGAUGGUGUGGAAGUAUACCUGCACAGCUGCUUGGCUCUUCCUUUUCUUCUCUUCACACAACCUGAACUGCCAACCUCUUCUUACACCAUCAGUUUGUGAUUUUCCUCAGGUGUAGGCUGAGGUAAGUGUUUUGAUUAGGGUGGGAGAGGCUAAGAUACAAGGUCAGAGGGUCAGGUGUAUGCCACGCAUUUUCAGUUUAUGGCAUUUUCAAUCUGACAAAGCUUGAUUGGGUUGAAAAGCUUUGUAUCUGGAAAGUGACUUAUUCUAGGAACUGGUUUGUGCAGUUAUGCAGAUGGGUAAGUCCACAGUGCUCCUAGUGGCCUGGCAGAAGAGCCAAGACUGCAGGCUGGGUCAGGUCAUCUGCUGUGAAUCCCUCUUGUUCCAAGGACCUGGGACUCUGUUCUAUGCAGGCCUUCAACUGUGCCAUGAUUUGCGUAUGAAAUUUGUACUGCUCUUUACUCUCUAGUGUGAGGUAUAGAAGUGGGAAAUCCCCUCCAUUGUGGUGUCUACAUGGCAGCCUCAGGAACGACUAGGACUAGGUCAUCAGGUUGAAGCCCAAGAGUGAGUCCUGGUGGUUUCAUAGGAAAAGGGAAAGACACGAGAAGGUGUGUAUAAGCUCUCCAUUCCUCACCAUCCUCAUCACCUUGAGAUUUUUGCCAGCAAGAAGCCAUCGCCGGAUGUAACCCUUGACCUUUCACCUCCAUAACCAUGAGUCAAACUUCUUUUCUUUAGGGAGCUACCUGGUCUGUGGUAUUGUGUCACUAAGAGCAGGAAGGGACUAUCUGGAGGAGGCCACCACCUUGGGGAGGGUCACCUCCUUUGCUCACUGUUCACUGAGUUAAUGUUAAACUUGUCUACAUCAGUAACUCUUCUGGUUGCUGGGAUAUCUGACAGGGAGUGACGUGGCCUGGAGGGGAUACAGUUCACCGUACAGAGGGAGACACGGUGACACCUGGCUUGCUCUUGGCAGAGGCAUAGACAAGGGGGUUCUCACCUCUUCACACCGUGGAGGAACAGGAAUCAGAGAGUGGUCAGGGCAUAUGACCAAGCUCUAGACUCUCAUUUAACCCCCCUGCCCCCUCCCCAUGACUCACAUCCUCACUCUGGCUGGUAGCGCUCUUUCCCAAGGUUGUGGAUCUUUCAGGAGGUAGGGUUUGGCUGGAGAAAGUGAGUCCACAAGACUGUGCAGCCUCAUGACCCUGGAGUUCUAUGCCAGUGGAUGACCAAGAUGUAUCCUAUAAGGAACCUGCCAGUGGAGGACCACAUCAGACAUGAACCACACAUUGGCUGUUGAUGAACACGCAGGAUCAGAGGAUGGUGUCACUCUGAGAUGGGGAGUUGUGUGCAACGCUACAUCAGCCGGCAGAGUAAUUCUGCUGAUAUUUUUGGUCAAACGUUGUUCUGAAUGUUUCUGUGAGGUGGAUGUUUUAGGUGUUGUGUGUUUUUAAUUGUUUUGGUGUACAUGCAUGUGGUAUGUCUAUAUGUCCAUGUGUGUGUGUGUGUGUGUGUGUGUGUGUGUGUGUGUGUAUGUAUGUAUGUAGAGACUGCAUGUUGACCUCAGGUACCCUUCUCUGUCACUCCAUCUUACAUCGCUCAGUUGAACUGGCCGAUUUGGCUAGUCUCAGCUAGUUGGCUCACCGUGGGACUCCCCUGUCUCUGGGGUCCAAACAGCGACAUUCUAGGUGAGCCAGCCCUCCUGACAUUUGCAUGGGUUUUUGGGAAUCUGAACUUCCAGUCCUCACAUUUAUACAGCAGGCAGUUUACUCCCCGUGGGAUCCCCCAGCCCUUCCUGUGGUUUGAAUGUGAAAUGUCCCCAGAGGCUCAUGUGUUUCAAGACGCUGCAGCCUGGAGAUAACCUGAGGGAGGCUGCGGGGAGGUGUGCCACAGAGUUGGAGAGGACUCAGAGGUAGUGAAAGGUGUAAGGAACAAGCCAAGGAGGCAUGGAGGCAACGUAUGUGGGACUCCUCCAGGUCCAGGGCUUCAGUCUCCAAAAGAAACCUAUUUCUACCCUCCCACCAUCUCCUGAGGCAGCAGCUGAUCUGUGUAGGAACCCUUGGCCUGAGUUCCCCCUAUAGAGACGGGGCUGUGUUCCUUUCUUCUCAGUGCUCACUGUCUGCAGGUUCCUGUUCUUUUUCUGUGCAUGUGGGUGGAUGCACAGUGUCCUUCCCAUCAUUGGCUGCAUUUCCUUUCAGAACCAUCACUCACACACGUAGUAAUUUAGACCCUUCUCUCCGAAGGAUGGCAGUGCCCCACCAUGAUGCCAACCGGUGCUUCCUCCCGCAGAGGAAGAGGUUCUUAGGUCCUGCAUUUGAGUGGCCUUCCCAAGGACUCGAGGACUGCAGGAGACUUUCAGGACCUGGAAAUGCCACUGUCAUCUGGUGGACAGGAGCCUGAAGCCCAGUUAGAAGAGCCACAGUACCAAGACAGCCUCACAAUCAAGACCUGUCUGGGGAAAAGCACCAAUAAGGAGCCAGGUUGACUCUGGCCAAAGGGGCAUGGAGAACCUUGUCCAUAGCACACUGUGACUUUAAGGAGUGAUCACGAAGGUGAGACGUGAUGGACAAAUGUCCCCAUAAGGACUGGAAACCACUCUGUCCUGGAGCAAUUGUUCUGCUCAGACCUCACAACCUUAAUGCUCACUCUGAAGCCAACCAUGGAGAAGCCCCCAGAAGACAGGAGACAUACAUGGGCCUGGAGGCAUCAGCAUGACUCUGGACAGAUGCAUGCUCCAGAUAAAACUGGAACGAGCUGCUUUAAACAUGUUGCUAUUAGAAAUAAACAGUUCAACGUCACAUAUUCUGUGUGCUCAGCACUGGUGCGUGGACCAUGGUUAUGUAGGAGGCUCCACUGCCAACAGACACUAUCACACUCUGCACAUUGAUUCCCCCAGGAGCUGGUUUUGCUCUGAACUGAAUGUCAUGCUCCUGCCCCAGCCCCUCUCCUGCGGAACCCCUGCAGGCCGUGUUUUUCUCCUUUUUCUGCUUCCACUGUGACCCCCAAGUCUGAGGCUGCACUGUCUCUGUAUGUGGGUUUGCUCCCUAGGGAUCACUCACUCACCAUGGGGUUCUGGACACUGCAGGAUAGCAAGAGAUCUUCCCGGCAGGGACCUGGGGGGAUACACAAGAGAAAGUUUGAUUCCCUGGUAGCCAGUCCCAUGCACUGAGGCCCAGAGGCCUUAGACUGGGUGGGUAGAAUGCAGGGCUGUGAGUGGAGGGGUCUGUUGAGGUAGAUUCAGAGCAACCACCACCCAGCAGUGAGUCAGGGUGAAGUGGCUGCUAAGUGUAUGUGUAUCUGUUUACAGUUUCCCUUUGUGAACCAAGUCUGGCAGACGACAGGUAUGGUUGGUUUGAUAGGCAGGAGUUGGCAUGGCUCUCAAAGGAACGCAGCCUUGUUCCUGCUUCGAGGCACUUCUCUUAUACCCUAUUUAUUAAAACGUAAGAAUUUAGUAUUUA